rnacentral:hammerhead_ribozyme from 1 species
AUCCAUAUGAUGAGUUCCGAAUAGGACGAAACACGCGUCAAACUGGAU